CAGUAGCCACGGGAAUACGUAGGUGGCAAGCGUUGUCCGGAAUUAUUGGGCGUAAAGCGCGCGCAGGCGGAUAGGUCAGUCUGUCUUAAAAGUUCGGGGCUUAACCCCGUGAUGGGAUGGAAACUGCUGAUCUAGAGUAUCGGAGAGGAAUGUGGAAUUCCUAGUGUAGCGGUGAAAUGCGUAGAUAUUAGGAAGAACACCAGUGGCGAAGGCGACUUUCUGGACGAAAACUGACGCUGAGGCGCGAAUGCGUGGGGAGCGAACAGGAUUAGAUACCCGCGUAGUCCCUGUCUCUUAUACA
rnacentral:rRNA from 1 species